AAGUCCCCUAUACCCAAAUAUGGUUUAGGCUUGAUUGAAAACUUAGCUUGGGCAUUUUUCUUUAAACAUAACGUUUUGUUUAGCAAAAGGAAACUUGUUCUUUUUUGGUUCACGGUUUUCUUACUGAAGAUUCUACUACUUAUUUGAGGCUAAACUGUAGCUAGUAUCUUUGAGCUUUUCUUGAAGGAGUUUGAAGUUCACUAUUAGUGAUUUGGGCUUUUGGACCAUGUCUAUAAGUGACAUGGGACCGGCUGUCACUGACAGGACCCUUCCAGGGAGGCUGUGCAACACCCACGGGCCCCUGACAGUAACUCUGUGCAGUGAGUGGGUGGGGGCCUCUCACAGUGGCUGGGAACCAGCCAGAGCAGGGAUGAGGGAGCAGACUGUCUGGGCCCCAGGGCAGACUGAAAAGGAUGGAGAGAAACCCCAGGAUGGGGUCCUCCUCCUUAUGUGUUUUUAAGUUGAUGUUUGGCUUGGCUGGGUUUCCGUAAUAAAAAUCCUUGGAGUGCAGGGCUAGUCCUGCUGGCCCCAGCAGAAAGUCGAGGACUUCCUAGAUGUCUGUGGUGCAACAGGGCAGGAUGGGGCCGUGUUCGCGCUCCCAGGAGACAUUAGGAGGCACAGGCAUGGGUGGGUGUCAUCCUUUUCCUCAACUGUAUCUGAAGACUCCACCCAACCCUUCAAGAAGAUGGAAAUGCAGUUGCCCAGAAACCGUACUUCUCAGUGGUGUUUUUUGAUGUGGCAUCUGAUGUGCACUGAUCUGUGUCUUUUGUUCUGUUCUGUUUUUCUGUCCUGCCUCGCUCGAAAGGACCGCAAGUCUCAGCUGCUACAAAAUCAAAGACAGCAAGUUGCUUAGGAGCAGCACAGCCUUUUCUGGGAUUGAGACCAGAGAAUGCUUCCCUCGGGGUUCUUAAGGGGCCCCCGUGUCUGUGGUCAGCUCAGUAUGUGGGGCUACAGGAGGCACUCAGUGGAGACAACAGCCUAGGGGGAGAUGAACCCCAGAGGGAGCUGGCUGAGCCUUGGGCUGAGCAGCCACCGGGAGAGAAUCCAGAGGACGUAGAGAGAGAAACAGCCUCCUGCAGCCAGUGUGGGAAUAACGUAGGGGAUUUCACUUACUUCCCACCCUUGGAAUUGUAGCAAGCCCAGCAUCACCUGAGCCUGAGCUCUGCCCUUUGUCACUGGGGCAGGAGCCAGUAGCGAGCAUGCUGGGUGCUGUGGCUGUCAGGGCGCUCCCCUCCCCUGGGCCUGCUGUAGCAGGAAUCUGGGGCUUCUGACGCAGUGCCUGCAAGGAGCAAACCCAGGCCUUAGGAGUGAUCAAACUCACUACAGUCCUGACAGAAAGUCCCCAACAAGCAGGAACCGGGAUGUCAGUGACAUCCCCCAGCCAUGCUCCGGGGCCUGCCUCUGAGUAGCACUUAGGCUCAGGGCUGCCUGCCUGGCUUGGCCCCAGCCCCUUCAAUGGUGACCAGAUGUCUACCCAGGUCCUCUGCAAGACUGACUGCUGUGAGAACCCUGCACUCUGUGGGGAGGGACCCCCCAAGGGCACCUGGAAGCAGGCAUGGGUGUUGAGGUACAUCUGGGCUCAGAAUGGGAGAUGGAUUUUCCCCCCAUUCCCCCAGCCACUCUCUGUGGCAGGCUUCCAAAGAAACCCUCUCAGAAACACACAAUUAUCAAGCUGUGACAACUGCUUGAGGUGAGGCUCACCUGGACCAGUGAGGUUGUUUGUUUGUUUUGAGACGGAGUCUCGCUCUGUCGCC
rnacentral:lncRNA from 1 species